UACAGAGGGUGCGAGCGUUAAUCGGAAUUACUGGGCGUAAAGCGCGCGUAGGCGGCUUUGCAAGUCGAGUGUGAAAUCCCCAGGCUUAACCUGGGAACUGCAUUCGAGACUGCAUAGCUAGAGUAUAGGAGAGGGAAGUGGAAUUUCAGGUGUAGCGGUGAAAUGCGUAGAUAUCUGAAGGAACAUCAGUGGCGAAAGCGACUUCCUGGACCAAUACUGACGCUCAUGUGCGAAAGCGUGGGGAGCAAACAGG
rnacentral:rRNA from 1 species